rnacentral:rRNA from 1 species
UACGGAGGGAGCUAGCGUUAUUCGGAAUUACUGGGCGUAAAGCGCACGUAGGCGGCUUUGUAAGUAAGAGGUGAAAGCCCGGGGCUCAACCCCGGAACUGCCUUUAAGACUGCAUCGCUUGAAUCCAGGAGAGGUGAGUGGAAUUCCGAGUGUAGAGGUGAAAUUCGUAGAUAUUCGGAAGAACACCAGUGGCGAAGGCGGCUCACUGGACUGGUAUUGACGCUGAUGGUGCGAAAAGCGUGGGGGAG